rnacentral:piRNA from 1 species
UGCCUUUUCCUGAGUGUGCAUGAGUGCGU